UGAAUACUUUCCUACUGUUUGCAAGACAAAUAAACCUCUUAUUUGUUUAAGCAGUGUCAAAGUUUCUGUUACUCUCAGUUAAAUCAAUCCCAACUAGAGAGUGCAGAUUGAGAAACAUCAAAAUUUUCCAAAAUUCUAUGGGUUUUAUUCAUAUCAAGUUGUCUUCUUUAUUUUCAGAUGAAGGAGAGCUUUAGAAAGAUGUGUUUGUUGUUUGCAUGCUUCAUUGCAACAGCCCUGCCACACUAGGAGGAAGACAGGUUUGGGUCCUGUCUUGGUGAUAAAGGUAAAACUAAAGGACAAUCAGACCUCAUCAAACUUCUCUUCUGAGGAGCUGAUGACCUUUCAGAAACAGUGACAAAGUUCAGAAUCCCAUUCUUCCAUCCUUGAUGGGUAACAUCAACUUUCCUGAUGAUUUUUGUUGGCUGCUGUGGCAAAUAUCACACACUUAGUGGCUUCAAAUAACACAGAUGUAUCAUCUGACAGGCUGGAGAUGGUAAGUCCAGCAUAGGUCUCAUUGAGCUUAAAUCUACGUGUUCAAGGGGCUGGGUUCCUUCCUAGAGACUCUUGCGGAGAAUCUGUUUACUUGCUCAUUUAGGUUGCUGGCAGAAUUUAGUUACUUGAGGUUGUAGAACUGAGAUCCUCAUUUCCCCAUUCCUAAGUUCCAAAGGCCAUCCACAUUCUUUGGCUCAGGGCCUCUCCUUCAUCUUCAAAGCCAGCAAUGGCAGGUCCAACUCUUGUCAGGCUUUGCAUCUUUCUCCCUCUUCCUGACUUCAGCCAGAAAAGAUAACCUGCUGUGAAAGAUUCAGGUGAUUAGAUUGUCUGCAUUUAGAUAAAUUCAGGAUAAUCUCCCCAUCUCAAGAUCCUUAACUUAAUCACAUCUGCAAAGUUCCUUUUGUUACAAAAGGCAAUAUACUCACAGUUUCUGGGGAUUAAGAUGUGGAUAUCUUUGGGGGCCAUUAUUCUGUCUAUCACACUCAAAGUUCCCCAUCUGAUUUCUAAAAUCUUUUUGCUCUAUUACUAGUGUAUACUACUGUUUCUGGAUUUUCUUGUUUAGGUUAGACCUUAGCAUUAGGGCAUUAACUGUUGACUUACUUUCAUAAAUAUAAUGCUGUAAUUCUUUUAUAUACCCACACACUCACACACAUACAUAUUGUUUCUUUCCUCAUUCUCCCAAACGUGUUAUAUCCCAAUUUUUGGAGGUAUUCAAAUUAUUAUAAGCCAGUAAAUAUUUUUAUAACUAAAACAUAUAUUGUGCUAUGAUUAUUUUUUCCUGUAUAACUUUUCUUGUACAACUGCAGUCUCAUUAUUCGUCACAUUUUUUUCAUUCACUUAAUUUUCUAUGUGUUGGUCAUCUUUGAAGUUUUCCUCAGAAUUGGAAAUUAUUUCUCAAUACACUGGAACACAACAGAUAAUCUAUCCACUUUUCUUUCUUCUUGAAACAUCCCUACUUGCCCUCAUGCUUUUUCCCUUGAACUUGGAUGGAUUGCUCUCUAGUCUACUAUAGCUGCUAACCUUAAGAUAUCCUUAAGCUACGUUUAAUGUCACUCCCAGUGAUACUACUGAGUUAUCUUAUUAUCACUCCCAGGAUUCCCUUCAUAUUUCUUCUCUGUUGGGGAUCACCUGUCUCUGGGUUUACUCCCUCUUUUUGUUGGAGGACAUCCUCCAAUAGCUCCCUGAGAAAAAGUACAUGAUUGUUUUUUCUUUUUUAGUUUGAAUGCCUUAAAAUCUCUUUAUUCCACUCAUUUGUAUGUCUAUUUGUUUACUGGUUAGGUUCUGUGUAGUAUUCUGGGUUGGAAAUCUGUCUCCCUCUGUCUCCAAAACAAAGCUGAGAUUUGUGGGGGUAUGGUGUGGCCAGUGGCCUACAUGGCAUCUUAUAGCAAUGGAAUGACAGAGAAGGAUACUUGUGAAGAGAGAAUUAACCAGAAUGAUGUCUCCCCAAGCACAUUCUCAGGAAGAUCACUUUUAGAAGAGAACAGACAUGGUACUUGAGGAUCUGGGAACUAAUUCUUUUAAACUAUCCAUACCUGCUUACUGAAGAGAAGUUUACAUGUACUUAACCUCUAGACUUUCAUGUACUUACCCCAGUUUGCAUACUGCUAUUCUAAAAUAUCAGAUCUUCCUGGAAAUGUGGGAACCAACAGGUAGAGAGACAUAAAUACCAGGCUGCCUCUCUUCUUUACUUAUCUCCCAAAACCAGAGACAAAGAGCUUUAGCUAUUUCUUUCUUCUGUUUCACAUCCUUUUUCCACCCUAUAGAACACCAGUAAAAGUGGUUUGGUGGCCUCUUUGUGAUUUUAAUGUUCAGUAACCUAAAUUUCUCUAGAUUAUAGAAUCCGGAAUACUCAAAUAUGGCCAUCAGUGAUGACAA